UGUGGCCCCAUUUGAAUUGAUUAUGUUUAGGGGGCUGGUUGUGAUUGGUGGAGAAGGGCGUGGUUGAUUGGAUAGUUUUGUAUCUUGUCAGCCAAGGAGCAACCCUGCGCGUGCAAACUGUCUGUAUCCCGAGGAAGGUUGGAGACACCACAACACAACAGCGGUAGUUCUCAGCGUCCCUGCCUGCUCGCCUGUGUGCCUCUAUCUCUCCCAGCCUUCCUCUCACUCACUCUUGCACUCUCUCUCUCUCCCUCUCUCUCGCUCUUGCUUUCUGUCUCUCUCUCUUUCCCUCUCUGCUCAGCUCUCCGCUCUGCUUCACUCCACACCGCGUGGCCCAGCACUCUGUUUACCCUGCCAGCUAAAUGGAGUUUGUCAGGUGCAGGGUCCAUUGUCAGCGGCUAUGAUGACACCUCAAGUGAUAACUCCACAGCAGAUGCAGCAAAUCCUUCAGCAGCAAGUCCUGAGCCCUCAGCAGCUCCAGGUUCUUCUCCAGCAGCAACAGGCCCUUAUGUUACAACAGCAGCAACUCCAAGAGUUCUACAAGAAGCAGCAGGAACAGCUCCAUCUCCAGCUUUUACAGCAACAGCAGCAUGCAGGCAGCAAGCUGAGUAAAGAGCAGCAGGUGUCAGCACAGCAGUUGGCCUUCCAGCAGCAGCUCCUGCAGGUCCAGCAGGUCCAGCAGCAGCAUCUGUUAAACCUUCAGAGGCAAGGGCUGCUCACAAUACAGCCUGGACAGACUGGCCUGCCACUGCACUCGCUCACUCAGGUCGUUUGCCAAACAUCACCCGAGAAUGUGUUCCUUUAUAAAAAUAGAAAAGGCAUGAUUCCAGCAGAGCUACAGCAAUUGUGGAAAGAGGUGACGAAUGCUCAUGUGAAGGAGGAGCACAACCAUAGCAGCAACAACGGCCACCGGGGCCUUGACUUGUCAUCCCCAGCACUGCCAAAGAACCCACUCCUCAACCAGCAUGCCUCCACAAACGGACAGUACAUGAGUCACAAGAGAGAAGGAUCCACAGUAGAAGAGCUGCCCCCCCACAGUCACCCUCUCUAUGGUCAUGGUGUUUGCAAGUGGCCUGGAUGUGAGGCUGUGUUUGAAGAUUUCCAUUCAUUUCUCGAGCAUCUUAACAAUGAGCAUGCCCUGGAUGACAGGAGCACGGCCCAGUGUCGGGUGCAAAUGCAGGUCGUACAACAGCUGGAGCUUCAGCUAUCAAAAGACAGAGAACGUCUGCAAGCUAUGAUGACGCAUCUCCAUGUCAAGUCCACUGAGCCAAAAGCCACGCCACAGCCGCUCAACCUUGUGUCCAGCAUCACAUUGUCCAAGUCAGUCCCUGCAUCCUCUCCCCCUCUGAGCUUGCCCCAGACCCCAACCACACCCACGGCGCCCCUAACGCCCCUUUCCCAGACCCAUUCCGUCAUCACAGCCAACAGCAUACACAGCAUAGGUCCAAUGAGACGUCGCUACUCAGAAAAGUACAACAUGCCCAUCUCUCCAGAUCUCAGUCAGAACAAAGAGUUUUACAUGAACACUGAUGUUCGGCCACCAUUCACAUAUGCCUCACUAAUAAGACAGGCAAUCCUCGAAUCUCCAGAAAAGCAGCUAACACUAAAUGAAAUCUACAACUGGUUCACACGCAUGUUUGCAUAUUUUAGGCGCAAUGCAGCGACAUGGAAGAAUGCAGUCCGGCAUAAUCUUAGCCUUCACAAGUGUUUUGUGCGAGUAGAAAACGUAAAAGGGGCAGUGUGGACAGUCGACGAAAUUGAAUUCCAAAAGAGACGGCCUCAAAAGAUCAGUGGGCUGCCCCUCCCCCCGCUGAGUUGCUUUUCCAGGGUGCCAUUUGCACCAACCUUUUCCUGCAUAGGUGCUUUGUGAGAGUAAAGGAUGAGUUUGGGUCCUUUUGGGCUGAUGGUGCUGAGUUUAAGCGUGGUCCCACAUACACCGAGGUUACCCUCAGAAAUACAGAGCUGAUGAGAACACAGUCAAGCAGAUUGUACAGAGUCCAGCCUUAGUAAAGAACAUCCAGACCAGCCUGGGCUACGGUCCAACCCUCUCUGCUGCCUUCCAGGCUUCAAUGGCAGAAAACAACAUACCUCUAUACACUACUGCUUCCAUUGGAAGUCCCACCCUCAACUCCCUUGCCAACGCCAUCCGUGAGGAGAUGAAUGGAUCAAUGGACCAUGGAAACAGCAACGGCAGUGACAGUAGCCCAGGACGCUCGCCCCUGCCAGCUAUGCAUCACAUCAGUGUUAAGGAGGAACCUCUGGACCCUGAAGACCACGAAGGGCCUCUCUCCCUGGUCACGACUGCCGAUCACAGUCCAGAUUUCGAUCACCACAAUGAUUAUGAUGACAACCAGGGCCAAGAUGACAUGCUGUAAAACUAGCACCACCCCCUCCCCCGCUUUAGAAGCAAAGGCAGUUUUUGGUCAUCUGGGAGACAGAAACCCUCAGCAGAUAACAAAUGCAGACUUGCAGUCUCAGCCACUGUUGACAGUUCUAAAAUGUCUCCACGUUGACUUUUUAGUGCCAUUACAAUACAAAGAUAGUACAUACACAAAAAACAAUGCUCAUUAUUUUUUUUAUGCUGAUUACUUUUUAUUUUUGAUUCAAGAAAAGCUUCAAAACUUCAACUUCAUUUCUAACCAUGUGUCGGUUAGACCUUUUCGGUACGGAGGCAACAUGUUUUGUGGUCAGAGACCCUCAAGAACGUACCCAGCAGACUGCAAGAGAUAUAUUGUCUCUACCCAACCCCUCUCCUCCUCUACCCCAUUUCAUUUUUUCUCCGUCCCCCUCCCAGACAAAAAGAAUUUGACCACAAACUCAAGAGAGAGAGAGAGAGAAAAUGACUGAUGUUUAAUUUACACCCCCUGCAUGUUCUGUGUAUGUGUGUGAGAGGAAGAGUGAGAGCGGAGUUCUGUUAAUAGCCACUGUCUUCAACACUGCUCAUUGCUUCGAUUUCUUAUACGAUGAGAUGGAUGUUGUUUUUAUUUGGGUGUCGUUUUUGUUGAGAGGUUAUAAUUUAAACAAUAAAAAACUGUUUUUUAUAUUAAA